AUUGAACGCUGGCGGCAGGCCUAACACAUGCAAGUCGAGCGGAUGAAGGGAGCUUGCUCCUGGAUUCAGCGGCGGACGGGUGAGUAAUGCCUAGGAAUCUGCCUGGUAGUGGGGGAUAACGUCCGGAAACGGGCGCUAAUACCGCAUACGUCCUGAGGGAGAAAGUGGGGGAUCUUCGGACCUCACGCUAUCAGAUGAGCCUAGGUCGGAUUAGCUAGUUGGUGGGGUAAAGGCCGACCAAGGCGACGAUCCGUAACUGGUCUGAGAGGAUGAUCAGUCACACUGGAACUGAGACACGGUCCAGACUCCUACGGGAGGCAGCAGUGGGGAAUGUUGGACAAUGGGCGAAAGCCUGAUCCAGCCAUGCCGCGUGUGUGAAGAAGGUCUUCGGAUUGUAAAGCACUUUAAGUUGGGAGGAAGGGCAGUAAGUUAAUACCUUGCUGUUUUGACGUUACCAACAGAAUAAGCACCGGCUAACUUCGUG
rnacentral:rRNA from 1 species